AGCGAACGCUGGCGGCAGGCCUAACACAUGCAAGUCGAACGAACCCUUCGGGGUUAGUGGCGGACGGGAGAGUAACACGUGGGAACGUGCCUUUAGGUUCGGAAUAACUCAGGGAAACUUGUGCUAAUACCGAAUGUGCCCUUCGGGGGAAAGAUUUAUCGCCUUUAGAGCGGCCCGCGUCUGAUUAGCUAGUUGGUGAGGUAAUGGCUCACCAAGGCUACGAUCAGUAGCUGGUCCGAGAGGAUGACCAGCCACAUUGGGACUGAGACACGGCCCAAACUCCUACGGGAGGCAGCAGUGGGGAAUCUUGCGCAAUGGGCGAAAGCCUGACGCAGCCAUGCCGCGUGGAUGAUGAAGGUCUUAGGAUUGUAAAAUCCUUUCACCGGUGAAGAUAAUGACUGUAGCCGGAGAAGAAGCCCCGGCUAACUUCGUGCCAGCCGCCGCCGUAAAAC
rnacentral:rRNA from 1 species